CUUUCCUCCGCAAAUUCUACUGGCCCGUUAUCUCCAGUCUCCACUUUGGGCCGAAAAUCUCAGCCACGGUGGUCGGGCCUAGUUUAUUUAUUUAUCCAGACUCUAAGCCAUUUAUUUGUUUCGCUGAAUACGGAAAGCGUAAGAAAAUUAUGGAGGUGGAUAAAAACCCGAGCCACUCUGCAUUCGACCACGCCAACUCUCGUAACCCAAAAUCCCGAAAGAGUCGAACAUGGUCCCUACCACAACCAUUAUCAAAUUGGACGGCCGCUCUAUCGACCAAGCGUCUCUGUAUCUUCUUAGUUCGGCGAAAUGCUAAAUGCUGUCUGGUCGGCGACCACUCUUUUCUCCGGCCCGGAUAGGUAAGCCCGCCUAGCCUACCCUAUCCACUGGCCGGUGGAUAGCUACCGGG
rnacentral:lncRNA from 1 species